rnacentral:lncRNA from 1 species
AUGCAUUGGGAGCAGAGACAUACAUUAUCAUUUUUACAUUAUCAUACAUCAUCAUCAAGAAUCUUUAAAUGAUUCUUGCUACUGAUUCUGAGAACAAUGCCUGGAACCUGAUCCCUCCAUUGUGGGAUGAAAAAUUAUAGUAGCUCUGAAUGACAUCGUCCUCCUCCAAUGACAGUGGCAUUUUCAGUUUCAUGGAAAACAUGCAAUAACUUUGGACCUCAGUUUCUUCAUCCGUGAAUGGUCCUAAUGUUCAAUCUGACUAAAGCAAAGACUGGACAUGAAUAACCAAUUUUCAAAAACUUGAAAUCAUCCAGCACCUACCUGUCAGGGAAGACAGAAGCAGCUACCUUGAUUACCAUCUCAGCAUACCUAUCUACGCAUGCACUGAGUCUUGAUGCAUGAAGAAGAGCACUUCAAGGUCAUAUUCUUGAACUCCCUCCAGCUUAUUCUCAUAAGAAGAAACAACAAUGCUUCCUCUCUUACAAGAAAGCUUUUUCAGAGAGAGAUGCUUAACUUUUGGAGAGGAGGUUGCAAUUUCUCUAAGCAGCUGAAGACUUCUUUGAGUUUCGAAGGCUGGUCUCAGAUUCUGAAUAACGCCAAAGCCUUCUGGUACCUCAAAUGUCUAAGAAACAGAAAAGUGGAAAGUCAGAGGCAAGGAGUUUCUGCCACAGGAGAGCUUGGGUCUACUGCUCAUUCUAAGACAAACCUGGGUUUUACAAGACGGAGAGAAUCUUUGGUCCAAGGAUAUUCGCUUCAAGGAUAA